GACGAACGCUGGCGGCGUGCCUAACACAUGCAAGUCGAACGAGAAUCGAUGGGAUUGCGGCUUCGGCCAAAUGAAGUUGAGGAAAGUGGCGAACGGGUGAGUAACGCGUGAGAAACCUGCCUUUCAGUGGGGGACAACAGUUGGAGACGACUGCUAAUACCGCAUAAUGUAUCGAGGGGGCAUCCUCUUGAUACCAAAGCUUUGUGUGCUGAAAGAUGGUCUCGCGUCUGAUUAGCUUGUUGGCGGGGUAACGGCCCACCAAGGCGACGAUCAGUAGCCGGUCUGAGAGGACGAACGGCCACAUUGGGACUGAGAUACGGCCCAG
rnacentral:rRNA from 1 species